GAUGAACGCUGGCGGCGUGCCUAAUACAUGCAAGUCGAGCGAACAGACGAGGAGCUUGCUCCUCUGACGUUAGCGGCGGACGGGUGAGUAACACGUGGAUAACCUACCUAUAAUACUGGGAUAACUUCGGGAAACCGGAGCUAAUACCGGAUAAUAUAUUCAACCGCAUGGUUCAAUAGUGAAAGACGGUUUUGCUGUCACUUAUAGAUGGAUCCGCGCCGCAUUAGCUAGUUGGUAAGGUAACGGCUUACCAAGGCAACGAUGCGUAGCCGACCUGAGAGGGUGAUCGGCCACACUGGAACUGAGACACGGUCCAGACUCCUACGGGAGGCGGCAGUAGGGAAUAUUCCGCAAUGGGCGCAAGCUUGACGGAGCAACGCCGCGUGAGUGAUGAAGGUCUUCGGAUCGUAAAACUCUGUUAUUAGGGAAGAACAAAUGUGUAAGUAACUAUGCACGUCUUGACGGUACCUAAUCAGAAAGUCACGGCUAACUACGUG
rnacentral:rRNA from 1 species